rnacentral:rRNA from 1 species
UACAGAGGGGGCAAGCGUUAUUCGGAAUUAUUGGGCGUAAAGGGCGCGUAGGCGGCCUGGCAAGUGGAAGGUGAAAUCCCUCGGCUUAACCGAGGAACUGCCUCCCAAACUGCUUGGCUUGAGACCGGGAGAGGUGAGUGGAAUUCCCAGUGUAGCGGUGAAAUGCGUAGAUAUCUGCAGGAACACCCGUGGCGAAAGCGGCGCGCUGGACCACUACUGACGCUGAGGAACGAAAGCUAGGGGAGCAAACAGG